CGCACGCCCAUGCACAGACACUCAACGCACACAUACUCCCUGUUGCCUCUCUGUCUGUAAAUGGAUAGCUGGCUGACAUGAACGUGUUUCUUCAUAUAUGCAGGUCAUUUUAAGGACUCAAUUUGACUCUGACAGCUGUAUACAAAGGAGAGUAUUAAGGGACAAGAAUGAACAACUCACACGCUCAAGUGUUGCUGACCUCCACCACCACUGCCAUGUCCCUCCGUCCCGGUCUGAACGUCAGCCCAGCUCCGGUGGAGGUGGCCAUGGAGCCGCACUGCAACAGCUCCGGGGCCCAGGUCCUGGCCUACCCCGUCUUCAUCUCCGGCUACGCAAUCGUCUUCCUCGUCAGCCUCGUGCUCAACGGCUUCACACUCAAGGUGUACUUCUGCCAGGGCAAGAGGGGCGCCGCCACCUCGGUCACGGUCUACCUGCAGAACCUGGCGAUCGCUGACCUGAUCCUGAGCCUGUGCCUGCCGCUGCGCAUCGCCAACUAUCUGGUGGGCACGGCCGCCAUGCGCCAGCUCUACUGCAGCUUCGGGGCCUCGGCAUUCUACCUCAACAUGUAUGCCAGCAUCCUCUUCAUGGAGUACAUCGCAGCCAACAGGUACCUGAAGAUCGUCCGUCCUCUGGAGACCCACCCCCUGCAGACCCCUCGUGCCGCCCGCAUGAUAUCCAUCGUCACCUGGACGCUGCUGGGCGGCUCGUCCUUCGCCUACAUGGUGGUGUCCUUCAUCUCCUCCCCAAUGGACAGCGCCACCUCUCUCCCCCCACACAGCGUGGGCUGCGAGUCCCUACACAGCAAGAGCGUCAGCCGGCUCUACAAGGCCGUGCACACCGCCUCAGCGGCCAUCUUCUUUUUCGUCCUCAUCUCCCUCAUCUUCCUCUACCACGGCACCAGGCAGCGGCUGCGCCAGGCACAGAAGAUCCGACAGGUCCACACACGCGGCGGUGCCCAGUCCUGCCAGAAACUGGAGAGGUCCAAGCGCAACAUGCUGGUUCUGGUGAGCGUGUUCUGCGUGUGCUUCGUGCCGUACCACCUGGUGCGGCUGCCCUACGCCUUCCUGAAGCAGCGGCUCACCUGCUUUGCCUGGGCGCACGCCUUCUACACACUGAAGGAGGCCACCGUGCUGCUGUCCGUCUGCAACGCCUGCCUGGACCCCCUCAUCUACUUCAUCUUCUGCAAGGCCUUCAGGCAACAGUUGGGCCUGAGGAAGACGCCUCCUUCUCCACCACAGGAGCUGGCGUCGGCCAUGACGGAGGUGCGGAGACUGUCCAUGAAGAGGGAGAGCCUGAAGCCUCUGAACGGGCUCCUCAUCACACCCGUCACGCUUCCUGACGAAUUACCUUGACCUUGACCCUUGACCUUGACAUUUCUCCUCACGCUGCUGUUUUUUAGGCUGUGCUUUGCCUGCCUCGCAAGAGCCUCAUGCUUGUACACGCACGCAAGUCUUUUUUUUCACACCUAUUUAAAUGUACAUACAUUGCUACAGUGACUCUAUAUAUUGGAUAAUAGAAUACCAUGUGCGUGUGUGUGACAAAAGUACUGAACGAUCGACUGUGAUGGCACAGUCCCUGCUUGUUCUGGAACAAGAACGUGCUGUACCCAUUGAACUGUGUUGAGGAUGGCAUGACAACUGUGACCAUGGCGGAACUGAAAAGACACCUGGGCACCUGUUUCCCCUGGUUGCACAUGCAAACAGCUUGAUGCACAAGUAAAGCCUCUUUUGUGGAAGUCCAUUUUGAACAAAAAAAACGAAUUGAGGACAAGCAAGGCACCACAAUGUAUGCACACAAACACACACACACACACACACACACACACACACACACACACACAAACACACACACACACACUACUGAAGGUAUUUAUUGUCGACUUGUAUGAAUAUAUCACCUCAAUAUCAGUUUGCCCACAGUAUGUCUUGUCCAGUUUGAAUACUGUCAAAUAAUCUUUAAAAGCUAUCACUGCAACGUAGGAAGCAUUUCCACUGUGGUAGCCUCUACUUUCAUACAUCCUUGUCUUAGUCAAAAAUAUGCAUGGAGUAUAUUAGCGCAACUGACCUUCUAUGGGGCCGUGUAGGUAAUAGAUUAGGAGGGCUGUCUUCUACACAGACUGCAAUGUAUUUUUAGGUUGUAUGUAAUGUAGAUCAUGAUGAUAUUGAACUUCGCAGAAAAGUCAGGUGGGGGGGAUUUAGAUACAGUUUCAUCUCUUCCUGUUAAAGCCCCCACAAGGAUGAGAUAUGACCUAAAAAAAAGCCCCACGCCAUCAAAUGUUUGUCACAGGAAGGCCACUGAGUCUGAUGAGGCUUGUGAUAAUCCUGAGGACAUCAUAAGCACAGUGAUGUAUUAGUGACAGUUUCGGUGAGUGACAGAGGAUUUUUUGACACCUUCAGUUUUAUAUUUCACCGCAGACACAACCACAAAGUGAAGCACUGAGUUCCACCAAUUCCCGUCUCAGGCCUAAUGACUGAAUCAUCACAACCUCAGUUUUCGUUCACACUUUUUAUACAGUAUUUCCUAGAAAAAAAUGAAACUUUCAGCUAUGUGCUUUGGCUAUACUUCAGACUACACACAGGCAGCUCAAGCAUUGAAAAUCUAGUCCACGAAAACAGGAACUGACAUAGACGGCCCACCAGCCACAGAGGUGACAACUGGGUGGUGUGUUUGUUUGUGGUGGCUUGUCUCGACACAGGAUCUGGAAACUUCGGGUUUCUUUCACGACACGUGACGUCACAGCACUGCAACACAAAGUCGAGGAGGGCCUGUGUGACUUUCUCUCUCUCUCUCUCAAUCUCUCUCUCUGAAUCUCUCUCUCUCUCUAUCUCUCUCUCUGAAGCUGUCUCUUCCUCUUUCUAACAAUCUCUCUUACUCUCUGUCUACCUCUUACUCACUCUUCCUCUCACACGCCUUGCCUUCGCUGUCUCUCCUUUUUUCUCUUUCUCUUGUUCUUUUCCUUGUAACUUCUGUUCAUCAGUCUGCAGUGUGCAAGCUAUGGCGGAGGGCAGGUCUUGAAGAUUGACAUCGAGCAGUUUCAGCUACAGGCUCCUGUGCUCUCAGUGCCUUCAGUAGCCUAGCGGUCACAUGAUGCACAUGAUGGCCCUCACGUCAGCCAGACGUCUGUGGCCACACUGCUAAUAAAGACGACAGACACAACUGCAAACAGAAGAUGUGGGCUGAGAGUGACUCAUCUUCUAACAGUCUCCAGUGCAAAAUAGAAGAGAAAAAAGAAGCCAAGAAAGCAGCAUUAACCAUCUCACCACUUCCUGUUGAGCUACAGUAGUGUGAUGCGUGUGAUGUCUGAUGCGUGAGUGUGUGGAGGGCCCCAGUGACGUGAUCAGACCCACACCCGCCCGCCGGAGUCUAGUCAUCCAGUCACCCAGUCAUCCACCCAGGGUCUGAGGUACAGUGGCAUGUGUCUUUUCCAACCAUGUGGGCAAUUUGAAAGUAAAAAUAAAAGAGGUCAUUGCACUUUGAUGAAGGAUAAUAUGCAUUACAUUUUGCUACCGCUUUUUAUCCAGAACGACUUAUAAUCAUUACAGCAAUGUGAGGUUAAGUGCUGUGAACUUUGAACUUGUAACCCUCUGAUCCAUUAGGCCCACUCCCUAACCAGUAAGCCAUGGCUGCCCAAUGGGACCAAACAUUUUGCUAAUAAACCCACAUUUGGGAGCAUGUAUCACCAUGCAUACCUUUAUUAUUCCUUUUCAGUUUAUUUUUUGUUGGUCCAGCACC